AACUGCCGCUAUCUUUUUCUGGCUUGCUGGAAUGUGUAUAAUCUCUUCUGAUUGGUUGUUUACAGAUUGUGAGCCAAAUUUUGAAUGUGUAAACAUAGAUCGAUGCAGGAACUGUUAGUGUUACUGGCUUGAAAUGUAGUUUCAAAGCAAUGUUGGGACUUUUUAAAGUUGAAGUUUUAACAAUAUCCUGAAAUACUUUGAUGAACAUUUUUCAACAAUUGAUUAGAAUGAGGAAAUCAACAUUUUGUGUGUUUACAAGUCUCUAAAAGAGGAAUUCAGUGAGUUAUGAAGUGGCCCUUUGGAAAUGCUUUGAACUAUUAAACAGCGAUUUUCAAAAAAGAUUGUGUAGCAACUUACGGGUGGCCUGACAACGACCUCAGUAGUGCAGUCACAGAGUAAUGGUGCUUAAAAGCUACUGUCAAAAAAGAUUGUGUAGCAACUUUCCCCUGACAACGACCUCGGUAGUGCAGUCACAGAGUGAUGGUACCUCAGGUUCAAGUUAAGGCAAAAGAAGAGCUCUAAAAGGG